rnacentral:rRNA from 1 species
AAUGAACGUUGGCGGCGUGGAUUAGGCAUGCAAGUCGCGCGACAAGCUUUGCUGCUUGCAGUGACGUGGAGGAGCGGCGCAAGUGAGAGUAACACGUGGAUUAUCUACCCCUCGGACUGGGAUAGCCUCGGGAAACUGAGGGUAAUACCAGAUAACAUCUCCGGAUCAAAUGGUGAGAUUCCGCCGGGGGAGGAGUUCGCGUCCUAUUAGCUUGUUGGUGGGGUAACGGCCUACCAAGGCAAUGAUGGGUACCGGGUGUGAGAGCAUGGCCCGGCUCACUGGGACUGAGACACUGCCCAGACACCUACGGGUGGCUGCAGUCGAGAAUCUUCGGCAAUGGGCGCAAGCCUGACCGAGCGACGCCGCGUGCGGGAUGAAGGCCUUCGGGUUGUAAACCGCUGUCAGAGGGGAUGAAAUGCAUAAGGGUACUCUCUUAUGUUUGACAAAUCCUCAGAGGAAGUACGGGCUAAGUUCGUGCCAGCAGCCGCGGUAAGACGAACCGUACAAACGUUAUUCGGAAUUACUGGGCUUAAAGGGUGCGUAGGCGGUGCGGCAAGUCGGAUGUGAAAUCCCUCGGCUCAACCGAGGAACUGCGUCCGAAACUGCCGUGCUUGAGGGAGAUAGGGGUGAGCGGAACUCACGGUGGAGCGGUGAAAUGCGUUGAUAUCGUGAGGAACGCCGGUGGCGAAAGCGGCUCACUGGAUCUCUUCUGACGCUGAGGCACGAAAGCUAGGGGAGCGAACGGGAUUAGAUACCCCGGUAGUCCUAGCUGUAAACGAUGAGCACUUGGUUGGAGGGGCCCCCAUACCCUUCCGGCCGUAGCGAAAGUGUUAAGUGCUCCGCCUGGGGAGUAUGUCCGCAAGGAUGAAACUCAAAGGAAUUGACGGGGGCUCACACAAGCGGUGGAGGAUGUGGCUUAAUUCGAGGCUACGCGAAGAACCUUAUCCUGGUCUUGACAUGCACGGAUGGCUCCCCUGAAAGGGAUGAGUUUGCCUUCGGGUGAAACGUACACAGGUGCUGCAUGGCUGUCGUCAGCUCGUGUCGUGAGAUGUCGGGUUAAGUCCCUUAACGAGCGAAACCCUUAUCAUUAGUUGCCAGCGAGUAAUGUCGGGGACUCUAGUGAGACUGCCGGUGUUAAACCGGAGGAAGGUGGGGAUGACGUCAAGUCCUCAUGGCCUUUAUGACCAGGGCUGCACACGUCCUACAAUGGCGCGCACAAAGGGACGCGAACUCGCGAGAGUAAGCAAAUCCCAAAAAACGCGCCUCAGUUCGGAUUGCAGGCUGAAAUUCGCCUGCAUGAAGCCGGAAUCGCUAGUAAUCGCGGAUCAGCAUGCCGCGGUGAAUGUGUUCCUGAGCCUUGUACACACCGCCCGUCAAGCCACGAAAGUGGGGGGCAUCCGAAGUCGCCGAGGAAACCCGUAAGGGAUCCAAGCGCCGAAGAUGAACUCCGCGAUUGGGACU